UAGGGAAUCUUCCACAAUGGACGCAAGUCUGAUGGAGCAACGCCGCGUGAGUGAAGAAGGGUUUCGGACCGUAAAGCUCUGUUGUUGGUGAAGAAGGAUAGAGGUAGUAACUGGCCUUUAUUUGACGGUAAUCAACCAGAAAGUCACGGCUAACUACGUGCCAGCAGCCGCGGUAAUACGUAGGUGGCAAGCGUUGUCCGGAUUUAUUGGGCGUAAAGCGAGCGCAGGCGGAAGAAUAAGUCUGAUGUGAAAGCCCUCGGCUUAACCGAGGAAUUGCAUCGGAAACUGUUUUCUUGAGUGCAGAAGAGGAGAGUAGAACUCCAUGUGUAGCGGUGGAAUGCGUAGAUAUAUGGAAGAAUACCAGUGGCGAAGGCGGCUCUCUGGUCUGCAACUGACGCUGAGGCUCGAAAGCAUGGGUAGCGAACAGGAUUAGAUACCCUGGUAGUCCAUGCCGUAAACGAUGAGUGCUAAGUGUUGGGAGGCUUCCGCCUCUCAGUGCUGCAGCUAACGCAUUAAGCACUCCGCCUGGGGGAGUACGACCGCAAGGUUGAAAC
rnacentral:rRNA from 1 species